rnacentral:rRNA from 1 species
UACGUAGGGGCAAGCGUUGUCCGGAAUCAUUGGGCGUAAAGCGCGUGUAGGCGGCCCGAUAAGUCCGCUGUGGAAAGUCCAAGGGCUUCAACCCUGGAAUGCCGGUGGAUACUUGUCGGGCUCGAGUCCGGAAGAGGCGAGUGGAAUUCCGUGGUGUAGCGGUGAAAUGCGCAGAGUAUCAGGAGGAACACCGAUGGCGAAGGCAGCUCGCUGGGACGGUACUGACGCUGAGACGCGAAGCGUGG